AUGCAGGUACAGUUACAAUAAAACUGAAGUGUUCUAUUGUCGUUCCCCCUGCUUAAAGAAAGCAUUUGAUACAUUACUAUCUCUGCCUAGCUCUACCAUAGUAAGGCAGAGACGCUUGGUUUCAAACAU